rnacentral:lncRNA from 1 species
CCCCAAGCCCCGCUGUGCACCUGCUGACCCUGUCGGCAAUAAUCGGCACCGGACUUACCUUCUCAGGUGAGAAAACACAGCGGCCCUGAGCCGGAGGGGAAGUCAGAGGAGAGAGGAUUUUAAUUCUGCCCAGAGGAAGGGGGUGCAGAAUAUGGGGCUUCCCGUGACAAGGGGCUAAAAUCCCAAAUCUCUGCUCUAAUGUCGAAGGCCUCCAUGAUAUGACCCACACCAGCCUUUCCACCACUAAUGUCCCUCCUCCCACCGCCUCCCUGCCACACACACACACACACACACACAGAGGGAGGUCCAUUCUCUUGUUCUUCACUCAACCUUACCACCUCCUUGCCCCAGAUCUACAUGCAACGAGGGGGAGGGGCGGCUGAAGAUGGCGCUCGCUGACCCCCCACAGGAGAAGUUUUGAGCUUGGCAUUCAAGGUCUCUACAAACAGGCCUCUGCCUCCCUUCUCACCACUAGUUUCCACACACCUAGGAAAGAAUUCUGAGCUCUUGUCCCCCACAUGCUACCCUUGCACGCUCUCCCAGCCAGCCAUUCUGCCAGGCCCAGAGCGGUGGAGGGGCGGCCUGUGGAGCAGGGAAAGCUCUUUGGUUCCCCCCCCACACCCAGACGAUUAAGCUCUAAAGCCUUCAGCUCGGCAUUCAAGGCUUCUAUGAUCGGGUCUCUGCUGACCUGUCCGCCCUUAGUCUCCACCAGCAUAAAGAGAACUCAGAUGUCUGGUUCACCCGUUUCUAUCCUCAUCCUGUCCAGGGAUUCCCCCAGCCUCCCUGCGGAGAUGAGAGCCCAGCCCUCCUUUCGGGAAAGGGAAGCCAUGGCUACCCGGCCCCUCGUGAAGCCCAGGAAACAGCCCACGGUGGUGACCAGAACCACACCAACCAUCACUGCAAGUACAAUGCCAGCAACGCCCCCUCCCCAGGGAUGGGUGGUCCGUAGAAUGCCCUGGCCACUCUCCGCCGAGGCUUCUGUGGAGACGGGGGAGAGACAGGGGUCGGGGAGGUUGUGGCAGAUUUCCCAGUCCUAAUCCCCGGAACCUGUGACUGUUCCUUUGUGUGGUAAAAAGAUAGUUUGCAGAUACGACGAAGUUAAGGGGUCUUGAGAUGGGGCGAUUGGCCUGGAUUACCCAGCUGGACCCUAAAGGCGAGUGUGCUUAGAAGGAGGCAACAGAGGGAGAUUUGACAGAAGAGAACAGGGCCACGUGGUAGGAGCGGACAGAAGCAGAGGGAAACCGGGUCAGAGGUGGUGCCAUGACCCUGGCUUUGAAGAUGAAGAACCAAGGAAUGCAGUUCUAGAAGCUGGGAAAGACGAGGGAACACAUUCUCCCCUACAGCUUCCCAGGGGAGCAAAGUCCCGCCAAUAUCUUGACUUCUGCCCCUGGCAGACUGAUUUUGGACUCCUAACCUCCGGAAGUAUAUAAGGAUACACUUGUGCUGUUGUAAGUCACCACACUUGUGGCAAUUGUUGACACACGAACCACCCAUUCACCCUGGAUUUCAACUGCCCUGUCAACCGGGCAUCAUUAAUCCAGAGUGCCCCCCACCCCCACCCCCACCCCCGGGGCCCAGGAAGAGGGAGCUCAUCGAUUACAGCAUACUCGUGGAAUUGAAGUUAGUCUGUCCGAACUGAGGCCAGAACCGUGUGUGAUCAGCACCUGGCCAGACCCCGCUAGGACGGACUGAAUAAAGGAAGCGAGAGA